rnacentral:tRNA from 1 species
GCUAAAAAGUUUUGAAAUUUGCCUUUUAAGCAAUGGGUCUGGAGUUCGAAUCUCCAGCGGGUCACCA